UGAGCCACCCAGGCACCCAAGAGUUUAUUUUAGAGAGUGAGCAUGUGAGCGGGAGGGAGGGGUAGAAGAGAGUCGCAAGCACUCUUCACUGAGCUUGGAGCCCAACACAAGGCUCGACCCCACUACCCUAAGAUCAUGACCUGAGCCAAAGGCAGACAUUUAAUCGACAGAGAUACCCAGAUGCCCCCAGAUAGUCAAAGUUCUUUAAACCUCAGCUUCCAAGUCUGUAAAAUGGAAACUAACGAUACCUGCCUUUCAAGUUGUUCUGAGGAUUAGAACUGGUAGGGCCAGUGCAGCACUUGGCAAAGCACUCAGUGUCCUUAAGCCCUUCCAUGCUCUACCUGCGCUGACAGGACUACAGAGCAAUGUGGCCGAAGGUAGGUUAGUGCCACGCCCAUGGAAAUAAAUGACAAAACACAGAAGGAUUCCAAACCCAGCUAGGCAGGACAGGAGGACAUCCCAGAAGAGGCGAUGCCUGGGCCCAGCCAGGAGAAUGAGGUGAGUAGAGCAACCAAAAUGCACAAAAACCUAAGACCCAGAGCAAACAGUUACCAAAAUAAGCUUCUUUUGGGGGAAAAAUGGGCUUUCUAAAGUCAUAGUCUUGCUUCUGAAUAUUCUUUAUUCACAAGUAGGAUUAUGCAAAAACGACUCAAUUCAUCAUUUCAGUCAAAACAAGUCGUGUCAUCAUUGCUUUAAAAGACACUUAAUAAUAUACAGUUGACUCUUGAAUAAUGUUGGGGUUAGGAGUACCCCCCACUCCCCACACAGUUGAAAAUCCAAGGAAACUUUAGCCAACUACUGACCAGAAGCCUUACAGAUAACAUAAACAGUUGAUUCAUACAUAUUUUGGUUGUUAAAUGUAUUAUAUAUUCUUAUAAUAAAGUAAGCUUAAGAAAACCAUAAGGAAGAGAAAAUACAUUUAAAGUACUGUACCAUAUUUAUUUUUUUAAAAAUAGCUGUAAGUGGACCCAAGCAGUUCAAACCUGUGUUCUUCAAGGAUUAAUACAAUGUAUACAACGAGCGCACAUUUCAUACUUCAGUCAUUUUCUUCCUCUUCACCUCCUGCUUUUCUCUUUCUGGAAGCCUCAACUCCUGAACAGAUACAAGAGAUAAGAGGUGAUGAAAUCGGAUCUCCAUGCCCAACUCACCUUGGAGCUCCCGUUGGUAAUGGUUUUUAAUGGCUUUGGCACCAUCCUCCUCCUCAUGGAUGCUGUUGGGGUCCUGGUAGGGGACACUCAGCCGCUGCUGGCUCUGCUUCUCCCACAGAUGGAUUGUCUGGAGAUGCUGAUGGGGUGAAGUGCAAGUGGAGGAAGGAAGAGAACAGGUGGCAGGGUCAAGGACUUGUCCAAAGAAACCCCCGACAACAAUCAGAGACAGAAAAAGGAUAUGAAAUCUCAGUUCCAUGAGGGUGCUGCAGAGGCCAGAAGUCACAAUUCAAGAAGUAAAGAAGAGUCUCUCCAUCUGAAUACGAUUAGAAGGAGGGUCAAAGCAAGGAGGCCUCAGGACAGCCCAGGACAGUACCAAGAACAGGAAUCACUGGUGCGGAAAACGUACAUUCCUGACUAAAGGAAGCUCUAGUUCACAGCAGUGGAAGCAGAAGCUGAGUACAAUGCAAGAUGGAAGUAUUAUCACACACAGUCACUUGCCCUAGAGGAAGCCAGCUGCCAUGAUGUGAAGACACUCAAACUGCUAUGGAGAGGCUCAUGUGGCGACAAACUGAGGCCUCCUGCCAAGAGCAUAUUAGUGAGCUGUUUUUGAAACAAAUCCUUCAGUCCCAGGCAAACCUAUAGAGAAUACAUUCUCAGAGCCAGUAUCUUGAUUGCCACAAAAACCCGGAGCCACAACUCUCCUGCUAAGCCAAUCACGACCGUCAGAAAUUAUAAAAUAUUAAAUUAAAUGUUUGUUGUUUUCAUCUGGCCUUCUCAGGGGAUGUAA